rnacentral:rRNA from 1 species
GAUGAACGCUGGCGGCGUGCCUAAUACAUGCAAGUCGAGCGAACGGACGAGAAGCUUGCUUCUCUGAUGUUAGCGGCGGACGGGUGAGUAACACGUGGAUAACCUACCUAUAAGACUGGGAUAACUUCGGGAAACCGGAGCUAAUACCGGAUAAUAUUUUGAACCGCAUGGUUCAAAAGUGAAAGACGGUCUUGCUGUCACUUAUAGAUGGAUCCGCGCUGCAUUAGCUAGUUGGUAAGGUAACGGCUUACCAAGGCAACGAUGCAUAGCCGACCUGAGAGGGUGAUCGGCCACACUGGAACUGAGACACGGUCCAGACUCCUACGGGAGGCAGCAGUCGGGAAUCUUCCGCAAUGGGCGAAAGCCUGACGGAGCAACGCCGCGUGAGUGAUGAAGGUCUUCGGAUCGUAAAACUCUGUUAUUAGGGAAGAACAUAUGUGUAAGUAACUGUGCACAUCUUGACGGUACCUAAUCAGAAAGCCACGGCUAACUACGUG